rnacentral:misc_RNA from 1 species
AUAUAUAUAUAUAUAGAAAAAGAUUAGAUGCAUAAAUAGGCCAUGACUUCAGCAAAGAUUCCAAAACUCCACUUAUCAUAGAGUUUGAAUUCUUUGCUUUAUUUUUUUCAUUUCAACACCUCAAGUUUCUACCAAUCUAAGAAAUUAGGAUAACAAAGUGCACUUAGAAUCAUAUGCCUUUGGUGACCCAGUGAAAAAUGUUAUGAUGACUAAAGAAUAAUUAAUACACUUCAUUCCACUAUUAAUCAUUUCUAUUAGACCCAUGUGAACAAUUUCUGCUGCUAUUUAUUAGCAUAUUCAUACUAAACAGGUUUGUGAUUAUUACCUGAAAGGAUAAAAGAUUAUUUUUCAAUCGUAUGAAGAUCUAUGGCCACCACAAGACCUCAGCCUUGGACUAUAAAAAAUAAACAAUAACAGAAAAAUAGCAGAAAAAAAUCGCUGCAUCAUGAAAGAGUCCACACUACAAAUACUGAAAAAUGUUCAAGGCUCGAGUAGCUUCAAAUUCAAUCACUACAUACUGAAGUUGCUAAUUAAGCGCCUUGAGAAAAGGCUUAAAAUUCAUAAACUGAACCAAAUUUAAAAACAAGAAGACACACAAAUCGAGCAACAAAUUUAAAAUGAGAAGGACAGACCUAAUUCAGCAUUAUAUUGUCUGUUAAAUAAGUAAAGCAGAAAAAUA